UUUUAUGGAGAGUUUGAUCCUGGCUCAGGAUGAACGCUGGCGGCGUGCCUAAUACAUGCAAGUCGAGCGAACGGACGAGAAGCUUGCUUCUCUGAUGUUAGCGGCGGACGGGUGAGUAACACGUGGAUAACCUACCUAUAAGACUGGGAUAACUUCGGGAAACCGGAGCUAAUACCGGAUAAUAUUUUGAACCGCAUGGUUCAAAAGUGAAAGACGGUCUUGCUGUCACUUAUAGAUGGAUCCGCGCUGCAUUAGCUAGUUGGUAAGGUAACGGCUUACCAAGGCAACGAUGCAUAGCCGACCUGAGAGGGUGAUCGGCCACACUGGAACUGAGACACGGUCCAGACUCCUACGGGAGGCAGCAGUAGGGAAUCUUCCGCAAUGGGCGAAAGCCUGACGGAGCAACGCCGCGUGAGUGAUGAAGGUCUUCGGAUCGUAAAACUCUGUUAUUAGGGAAGAACAUAUGUGUAAGUAACUGUGCACAUCUUGACGGUACCUAAUCAGAAAGCCACGGCUAACUACGUGCCAGCAGCCGCGGUAAUACGUAGGUGGCAAGCGUUAUCCGGAAUUAUUGGGCGUAAAGCGCGCGUAGGCGGUUUUUUAAGUCUGAUGUGAAAGCCCACGGCUCAACCGUGGAGGGUCAUUGGAAACUGGAAAACUUGAGUGCAGAAGAGGAAAGUGGAAUUCCAUGUGUAGCGGUGAAAUGCGCAGAGAUAUGGAGGAACACCAGUGGCGAAGGCGACUUUCUGGUCUGUAACUGACGCUGAUGUGCGAAAGCGUGGGGAUCAAACAGGAUUAGAUACCCUGGUAGUCCACGCCGUAAACGAUGAGUGCUAAGUGUUAGGGGGUUUCCGCCCCUUAGUGCUGCAGCUAACGCAUUAAGCACUCCGCCUGGGGAGUACGACCGCAAGGUUGAAACUCAAAGGAAUUGACGGGGACCCGCACAAGCGGUGGAGCAUGUGGUUUAAUUCGAAGCAACGCGAAGAACCUUACCAAAUCUUGACAUCCUUUGACAACUCUAGAGAUAGAGCCUUCCCCUUCGGGGGACAAAGUGACAGGUGGUGCAUGGUUGUCGUCAGCUCGUGUCGUGAGAUGUUGGGUUAAGUCCCGCAACGAGCGCAACCCUUAAGCUUAGUUGCCAUCAUUAAGUUGGGCACUCUAAGUUGACUGCCGGUGACAAACCGGAGGAAGGUGGGGAUGACAUCAAAUCAUCAUGCCCCUUAUGAUUUGGGCUACACACGUGCUACAAUGGACAAUACAAAGGGCAGCGAAACCGCGAGGUCAAGCAAAUCCCAUAAAGUUGUUCUCAGUUCGGAUUGUAGUCUGCAACUCGACUACAUGAAGCUGGAAUCGCUAGUAAUCGUAGAUCAGCAUGCUACGGUGAAUACGUUCCCGGGUCUUGUACACACCGCCCGUCACACCACGAGAGUUUGUAACACCCGAAGCCGGUGGAGUAACCUUUUAGGAGCCAGCCGUCGAAGGUGGGACAAAUGAUUGGGGUGAAGUCGUAACAAGGUAGCCGUAUCGGAAGGUGCGGCUGGAUCACCUCCUUUCU
rnacentral:rRNA from 1 species